CAGUUACCUACAAGGGAGUACCCAUAAGAUUGUCAGCUGAUUUCUCAACAGAAACUAUGCAGGCCAGAAGGGAGUGGCAAGAAAUAUUCAAAGUGAUGAAUAGCAAAAACCUACAACCAAGAUUACUUUACCCAGCAAAGCUAUCAUUCAGAAUUGAAGGUCAGAUAAAGAGCUUCACAGAUAAGAAAAAGCUAAAGGAGCCGGAACCGGUUUGGCUCAGUGGAUAGAGUGUCGGCCUGUGGACUGAGGGGUCCCAGGUUCGAUUCCGGUCAAGGGCAUGUACCUGGGUUGUGGGCACAUCCCCAGUAGGAGGUGUGCAGGAGGCAGCUGAUCGAUGUUUCUAACUCUCUAUCUCUCUCCCUUCCUCUCUGUAAAAAAUCAAUAAAAUAUAUUUAAAAAAAAAUAA